AACGAACGCUGGCGGCGCGCCUAAUACAUGCAAGUCGAGCGAGAAGACGUAGCAAUACGUUUGUAAAGCGGCGAACGGGUGAGGAAUACAUGGGUAACCUACCCUCGAGUGGGGAAUAACUAGCCGAAAGGUUAGCUAAUACCGCGUACGCUCCUUGGACUUCGGUUCAGGGAGGAAAGCGAUACCGUGGGUAUUGCGCUCUUGGACGGGCUCAUGUCCUAUCAGCUUGUUGGUGAGGUAACGGCUCACCAAGGCUUCGACGGGUAGCUGGUCUGAGAGGACGAUCAGCCACACUGGCACUGCGACACGGGCCAGACUCCUACGGGAGGCAGCAGUAAGGAAUAUUGCGCAAUGGGCGAAAGCCUGACGCAGCGACGCCGCGU
rnacentral:rRNA from 1 species